CCCUUUUUGCGCUUUUUCAUGCUGACGUUGCCGACAGAAUAAUCACCGGCUAACUCUGUGCCAGCAGCCGCGGUAAUACAGAGGGUGCAAGCGUUAAUCGGAAUUACU
rnacentral:ncRNA from 1 species